rnacentral:rRNA from 1 species
ACGGAGGGUGCGAGCGUUGUCCGGAUUUAUUGGGUUUAAAGGGUGCGUAGGCGGCCAUUUAAGUCAGCGGUGAAAGACCCCGGCUCAACCGUGGAGGGUCAUUGGAAACUGGGGGACUUGAGUGCAGAAGAGGAAAGUGGAAUUCCACGUGUAGCGGUGAAAUGCGUAGAGAUGUGGAGGAACACCAGUGGCGAAGGCGACUUUCUGGUCUGUAACUGACGCUGAGGCGCGAAAGCGUGGGGAGCAAACAGGA